CCGCAGAGGGUCAGGCUGGGGUUGGGGAAGGCUCCUCGCCAGCCCCUACUUGCUCCCAAGGCCCCACCUGAUGUCCCUGCAAGCGGGAGUGGGGGUGGGGCAGGGCCACGCUGGUUCAUCUUGUUCCCGGCGCGCCGCGGGCAGCAGCGAGAUAGCGGAAGGCGAUGGAAGGUUAUGUGUCCGGCUCUGUCCUCUCCCCUACUGAGGACACGGCCGAGCUGGAUAAAAAGAAGCGCAGCACCAUGGGUCAUCCGGAAAACGCAACAAACUGAAGCCACACAGAUAGCGCCGCACACCCACCCGAGAGUGAGAGCAAAGUUCGCGAGGAGCGGAGCGGGCGUGAGAAGCUGUGUGGCCCGCUGCCGGCGUGACCCCGCAGUUCCCCUCCCGGGUGUUUAUCCGAGGACACGGGUGCACACGGCCUCCGAAAGGCAGGUGCAGAAGUGGUCCCGGAGGUUCCUCUGCCCUACACAGACGUUCACCAGGGCCCCCCAAACCCCAAACACCCUGAAGGCACAUCAGCAGCGGAAUGAAGAGAUAAGACUUGGCGUGUUCACACAAUGGAACAAACUCCCGAUCACGCAACACGUGGCUAUCAGAAACGUGCUGAGCAAAAGAGGCCAGACGGAAAAGAGCGGUUCCGUGUGACCCGGGGAUCAGAGUGUGAGGACAGGGAGGGAGCCCGGGAGGCUGGAGUGGGGACAGCGGCUGCCCUUGGGGAGCACUAACUGGGAAGGGCGUGGGGGCGGGGCUCUGGGAGCUGGAAGUGUCUCUUGACCCCCAUGGGCGCUGGGUACAUGGAAGUAGUCACUUUGUGGCAAUGCGUGUAGCUGCCCACCAGGGACGUGUGCACUUUCCUAAGACAGCAGCUAGGUAGGGAGUAUGGUCCCACCAGCCCUGCCAGCCCGGGGUCCUCAGCCCCAGACCCCCGCUGUCUCGGUUCUUCAUGCUUGCUGUUCACACUCAGUCUACAAGUCUUGGGAGGGGGGUGGCCCUUCUCCCCAAGCCCCUCCCAAAACACUCUUUUUGCUUCUUUAA